ensembl:lncRNA
UUUUUUUUUUUUUUUUUUAAGCUUCAGAGCAUGAAAAAAUGGAGGGUGAAGGGGAAAAAUACAAGGAAAAGGGGGAAGAGGGUCUGUUUGCUAUUCUGCAGUUUGUGGCUGUGCUUCACCUGUUGCAAAGCUGGAUAAUAAACACAAUCUCAGCGCACAGGAGAACAAUUCCACCACCAAUUUCAGUCACAUCCCAGUCUCUGCAGCCCCUGAAAACUGAAAACUUUGGCUAGAAACUCUCUCCUAUCAAAAAUAAAGAGCUGAUAGCAUCAGAGACAGCCCUUAAGGCCUGGUAACUGAGAGCACCAGAUCCACAUGAGUUCAUGUGCCACCAAAAAAGCCUAAUAAUCCCAACAAUUUCAGUAGAUCUGCUAGAUUUAAAGAUUAAUGCUUUAUAUAAUUCAAUAUAUGCUCUUUUAGAAUUUGAGCAAUGGCUUCUCACAGCUAAAAUUACAUGGCGGGAAAAGGGCAAAGGAGUUAUCAUCUUAUCUUACAACUUCAUACCUUAUGACUAGCAAGAACUAGGAACACAUUAGUUGGCUGGUCAAACUUUUGGAGAUUUGCAGGGCUGGGGUAGAAUUUUGCAUAUUUGAUCUUUGUAUCUUUUUUUUCUUUUCUUUUAAUGAUAUGCUCUAAGCAUUGAGGAAGUAAUAGAAGUUUUGUCUCCUCUAUCUUCAUAUUUGAUGACACUUGGAGAUAUUUAAAAACUGUAGAAUCCUCUAUUUAAUUGCCAAAAAUGGAUGUCAAACCUUGAGGACAUCACACCUCUAAGCCCACUUUAACCACACAAAUAUAUUUGAUUAGUGAACACAAGGUUUAAGAAAAAUACAGAAACCACAUCCACUUGAGUGUCAUGACCUUCAGACACUGAAAAACAUAUGGAAUAAAGAUAAAAAGCAUUCUGCUUGGUAACAAAAUAUUCCUGAGAGUUUACAAAGCCCAGUGGAGCACUGGAAAGAACAGGGAGAAGAAGUGUUUCUGGAGAGCAACAUACAAACACUUUCUUUUUAGCAGGGAAUAUGAAACAUGUUCAGACAAAUGGGUUUUGCCAUGUAUCAUCCUGCCUAGCUUUUUAAGGCCUUCCAGGUGUGCUGCUAUACCUGCAUAUUAAGGAACUGCCAGGUAAAAAGGAAUGUUUUUUGCAUUUGUGAGCAAUGCUGACAGUACACUGCUCAAAAAGGGGUUUCUGUAGUUUGCCUCUCAUAGUAUUAAAGGUCAAGGAUGGCAAGGAGCCAAAAAUAGCUGUUUCCUUUCCACAGAAAACAAAUGUACCGAGCUGUCCACCCACAUUCCAGGCAGCUGGGGAAGAUUUACAGUAUGGAAACACAGGCUAAAGAGGGUAAUCCUGCAACAGGAGUACUGCAGCAGAUCCAGGCACAAGAAGAGCUAUGGCUGAAGGUUUCUCUCAGUCAGAAGAGUUCUUAGUUGGCUAUGAAAAUUAACAAAAUUCAGAAAAACUUCUUCAGUGCAGUCCCUUCACUCCAGUCAGGAAAAAACACAAUCCAAAACUCAGGCAAACACCCGAAUCCUGAAGUGUUGUUUGAAGGGUCAGAAUGAGAACUUCCAAACAGUCAGAUUAAAAAGAGUAAAACAAAACCCACAACACCACCAACAAAAAAAAAAAAAAAAAAAAAAAAAAAAAAAAAA